GUCCUUGCCGCCAGGCUCUCCGCUGGCCGCCAGGGCAGGUCCUGGCCACGCACCUCACACAUCUGGAAGCAGUUGUCUCCAGCUGCCGGGCGGGGCUCAGGCUGCGGUCAGGGCUGGCUGCCCGUGCUUUGGAGACCUCGGACCCUCAGACAUCCCCUCGGAGCAGGGAGGGGAGACUGGGAGAGGGAAGGGAACGGGAUACAGGGGGAGUCGGGGGCGAGGGCUGUCUUUUUGUUCUGAAGAACCUUUUGGCUUUUCCCAACACAUCAGAAAAUCUGGCCGGGAAACUGUUUUUCUUCUGGUCCCACCCAUGUCUAAAUCAGGCAAACCUGAGCACACAUCUGUUUUUGUUUCUAAAGGAAUCAAAGGGAGUCCAGGCCUGUACGGGGUCCUAAAAAUACAUGUUGAAAACUGCUCGUGUUCCACCCUCUCCCGUGAAAGUUUUGUUUCCAUGACUUAAAAAUUUCCAGCAAGUUGCCAUCUCUGCUCUGACCUUCGGCGGCAGUGGGCCUUGUUAAAUAGGCCGGAGUCUCCAAAAUCGCUGGGGGGCUGGGGUUGAAAUGGGUUGGUCUUUGGUCACAGGACAUGGUGGAACCGUCUAGUUCUGCGUCCUCAUCUUAUAGCUGGAGAAACCAGCCCAGAGAAAGUCCAACAGCCCGAAUGGUCCCUGAAAUGACACGAUGUGGGAGGGCCCCUGCCCACCCCCAGAGGACAGACCGGAAAGCAUCUUAUUUGCCACCAUGGAGCGUGUGUAGCCUGUGCAGAAUGUGGAGACUUUAUGAUGCUGCACUUAGCUAUGGCCUCAAACCUUCACUGACCCACGCAUCUCCCCCUCCUCCCUGCCACUGGAAGGAAACCAUGGCAUCAGAACACAUUGGGACUGGCAGCUGCCUCCAGCACAAGGACUCAGAGUCGCAUCAUUGGAUUCCUGGACCCACUUGUGCCUGCUAUCAGCUUCCUGUUCCUGAGAAAUCAGGAGAGCGUGACCUCAUGGAAACCCAGUCAUCAGCAGGAGGAGAGACCGGCAGCAUUGGACGAGGGAGGCCGUCACAGAAUCAGGACCAGAGCUUGCUGGCCUUGGCGUUGGGAAGGUUUAUUGGUGGCCUCCUGUCUAAUUGAAUAUCAAGGUCCCGCGUGGAGGGAAUUCAAUAGCCGUGGUGACUCUCCCCUGAGCAUUCCAGACUCAGCUCCCAGAUUGGACUCCCUCAUGGCCAACCUGAGGGCCCCUUGGAGGGCAGGUGCCACCAUGUCCUGGCCUGGCCACGGCUUCCCAGAGGAGGGCAGAGAAUCCCCGUGCUCUGCUGUUCAGAUGAGAAAGAACUGGUGUUUCCACACUCACAUUCUCGCAUGGACAUUAUUCAGCUUUUACUAAUUGGCUUUACGAUUUUUCUCAGUAGUUAAUAUUCAUCUGUCAAAGAUGGAAGCAUAAAUAAAUAACUCUGGUCGGAGCA
rnacentral:lncRNA from 1 species